UUUCCGCUUCCACAAUUGUCUAUAGAUGUGCCAAUAAAGCCGCAUUAAGCGGCGCUUUAACACCGGCUAAUGCUUAUCUGAGACGAUGGGCUUUUAAAUUGAAAUCUCCCUGCCACAUGCUUGUAUCGGAAAACGCCGGCUGCAGACCGUUGUGUUUCUUCUCAGUUCGCCAGCUUGCAUAUUUCCGUCUCUUCGCGGCUUCGGCAGCGCCACAGCACAGUGUUAUUUUCGCGGUAACGUUGUACGUGCAGCGGGAGUCGCUCGGCAGCAUUAGCAGAAGUCGCGCUCCUUUGUUCGCCUAUACGGUGUCUUUUAAAAAAAGGAGCAACAUAAAACGACAUAUUAGCUGCAUUUAAACCAUUGUGCUUACGUUAUCGCUUCUUAAAGGCAAAGCCUGUCUUAUUAACAUCAUUGCACGUUUGAACAAUUUGACGGCUUUGUAAGAGUCAUUUGAGUGUGUUUUUGGCGAGUGAAUCCCCUGGAUGGGUUGCACACAAGGACUGCGGACUUCUGAAACCAUUCGCGCUUAAAAUACUGCUGCAAAUGUAAUUAUAAGCAUGCAACCGAACAGCUCUGUGAUGUAAAAUAUUUCGGUAACCAGUUAUUUGAGGCUUCAUGUGGGGUUUUGUCUGUGUUUUGCUUGUACUGCGUUAUGAAAUCAUUUCAAGGUCAACCGGCCUGGCCCGUACUCCUAUUUUACCAUUGAUGAGUGCAGAUCAUGACAAUUAAGAUGUAAAUGACCAACAAGCACAUUAUCUGAUUUCUUAAGCAUGAUAUUUGACUACUAAACCAUAGCACAUUUUUUUUCACCCUAGUUUUAUAUGCCCUACUUGUUAUGGAGGCUGCAUUGAUUUAAAUGGCUUGUUUGAUGCAGCAACUGUACUAACGUUUGGACUUACUGAUCGAUUAAGGGUUGUCUUCUGAAACAUGUAUCUUAGGGUGUUACUUUGAAACAAGGGACAACUGAAAAGCAGGACCUCAGGCACAGCUGUGAAUGAAUUGGUGUCAUGUCCUGACACUAGCUGGUCCUCUGUGUUAGGUAAUCAGUUGUCAUGGAGGAUUGUCCAAAUGUAGGUGGUUUACUUGGCGUACACCAGCCCUUGUGUCCUCCGGGUCACCUUUACUCUGAAUGGGCUGGUUCUAAUUAACACCAGGACUCAUGCAUCACAUCCGAAUGACUACGUGUGAUGAUAGAACCAACCUUUUGCACUUGAGGGAUACCACAUUAAAACAUUCGUAUUGCCAAGUUUAUUAGAAGGCGUGAGAUUUGGCACGGAAUGGUUGUGUUAGAAUGCCUCGUUCCCUAAGGCGUGUUGGGUGAUUAUGGGUCUUUCAUUGAGUUUAUAUUAUAGGUGAAGUGCCAUCCACAGUUUAUGCAAUGCAUAGCGGUCUUGUAUCAAGAAGUUGUCUUGCAUUUCAGGUUGUCUUUAUUAACAUCAGUUCAGGCACAAUGCCAAGCACACUUGCAUGUUCUCUCUCAUUAAAUUCACAAGGUUGGAUUUGACUUUUGCUAAGAGGUGUUAUGGGUUGUAUAAGGAGAGGCGAGUAGCCCACACUUCUCAUUUAUUAACCUUUGUGACAUUUUCUGAAACUUAACUUGAUCUAAUUUAUUUAAACUCUAAAAAAUGCUGGGUUAUUUUUUUUUGCCCCGAAUGCUGGGUUCAGAUUGUUGGGUCAUUUUAUUGGGUUAAUUUUAAUAUUGUUUUACCCAGGUGCUGGGUCAUUUUUUUUUUUACAGUCAAUACAAAUGAUGUACCCCCUCACACACCCAGCGCUGGGUCAGUGUAACCCAAUGUUGGGUAGUCUGUGACAAACUGGUUAAAACUGGAUACGUUUGUCAGUGGUCAUUUUGUGUUCUGUCCUAACUCCUAAGAGAAACUUGACUGACGGGAAACUUCCUGAAUGGAAUUAAGCUAACAUCUCCUUGGAACUCUAGCCUUCUACAAACACAGCAUUCACUGGAUCUACACUCAAAGUGAACGUCGCCACCACGGAAGUUUCACCUACAGUCAAAAUAAUGCUCGACCAGGGCUGAAACACGACGCUACUUCACUGUUAUAUGUAACAAAGUUUCUGUGUACUCCACUGACUACAACAGGAGUGCUAUUGAUCUAGUGCGCCAUUGUUGCAGCUGUGGUCGCGCUAUGUGUUUGACGGGUUGAAACUUAAAUGUCGGACAGACAAGAUGGCACGAGAUUCCCAUUGGCUGCUCCUGUCACGUCCUAAUACCUUUACUGAAUGUUUUUGAAGAUUUCAUGAUUGUAAAAGACUGACUUGACAUUGAACAAAAAAUAUUCUAUAUGAACUGUUCUUGUCCUAUAUAAAACAGAUUUUAAUUACAUUUUUCUUAUUUAAAAUGAAAAACCUUCAAUAGGUUGACUGACCCAGCACUAUGUCAAAAAACAACCCAGUAAAUGGGUUAAUGUAUAAAACCCAACUAGCUGGGUUAAAAUAACCCAGCAUGUGUUCUGUCUAAUAUUUACCCAGUGCUGGGUUGCCAAAUA